rnacentral:lncRNA from 1 species
UCCUAUUUUAAAGAUGCAGCUGUUGCCAAUGGAGACUUUAAAAAUAAAUAUUCACUGAUUUUCUUCCAUGUUUUACAUCUCACUUUUAUAUGAACUACUGAAACUAUUUCAUUUUGUGACAAAACAGUAAGUUUCCUGAUGUGAACUGUGAAGCUAUUGCUGUUUCAGUGAAUUCCCAUUUUAGCCAACUUGCCUGGAUAAAUACACCAAGAAAGACAAAUAGUUGUUUGGGCUUCAUUAAGAUCACACUUUGUUGUUGUUAGAUUGAAUUAAACAAAUUUCUUUUAACUGUGGUUGCUGUAAGAGGGGUCUGUUUCUGUAUUAAGAAGUCUCCUUGUACUCACCUUAAGUGAGGUCCUCAAGCAUUGGCAAAUCAGUUAGUAGUAUCUUUGAGCACCAAAGAGACCCUCUGCUUAGUGAAGACAUUCUAAUUUGCAGCAUCCAUGGAGAAGGUGGACCUGCAAACUGGAAGCCAGAUGCUAGAUGAUGAAGUCAAAUCCUACAACUUCCAAGAUUUCAAGAAGGUAAAUUGCUAA